AGUGAACGCUGGCGGUAGGCCUAACACAUGCAAGUCGAACGGCAGCACAGUAAGAGCUUGCUCUUACGGGUGGCGAGUGGCGGACGGGUGAGGAAUACAUCGGAAUCUACUUUUUCGUGGGGGAUAACGUAGGGAAACUUACGCUAAUACCGCAUACGACCUACGGGUGAAAGCAGGGGAUCUUCGGACCUUGCGUGAUUGAAUGAGCCGAUGUCGGAUUAGCUAGUUGGCGGGGUAAAGGCCCACCAAGGCGACGAUCCGUAGCUGGUCUGAGAGGAUGAUCAGCCACACUGGAACUGAGACACGGUCCAGACUCCUACGGGAGGCAGCAGUGGGGAAUAUUAGACAAUGGGCGCAAGCCUGAUCCAGCCAUACCGCGUGGGUGAAGAAGGACUUCGGGUUGUAAAGCCCUUUUGUUGGGAGAGAAGAGCAGCAGGUUAAUACCCCGCUGUUCUGACGGUACCCAAAGAAUAAGCACCGGCUAACUUCGUG
rnacentral:rRNA from 1 species